GGAUUUAUCCGUUGGUCGGGCUUUUGGGUCUGUACUGGCGUGAUGGAUUUCUACCUUCUGAAUAACCGGCAUGUCAUUAAUUUGGUGUUAUGGGAAAUCAGGACUGUUACUUUGAAAAAAUUAGAGUGUUUAAAGCAGGCUCACGCUUGAAUACAUUAGCAUGGAAUAAUGAAAUAGGACGUUCGAUCCUAUUUUGUUGGUUUUAGGAUCAACGUA
rnacentral:rRNA from 1 species